GAGCUAACACCAGUAGAGAGCAGACCACACUAGUGAGGAGGUGUGGAGAGGGGCGGCAGGGGGCCAAGGACGGCUUUGCUUCUCAACAGCUGUGCGGAAGACUGAACUUCGGUAUUGCAACUGGCAGAAGGGGACAUCCUGCUUCCAGAUGCACUGACAGCUUUCGUUCCACACUACCUUUUCCAAGAUGAUCGUCUGAUGAACAGCCUUGGAAGAUAGACAUAGUGUUUUCCUCUGGAGCGGAAGGCCCAUCAUCUUGGGAUGAUAACCAGUUUUCCUCAAUAGAGAAGCAUCAGAUGAUGAGGAGCAGCUCCAGUUUACCCAUGAUGAAACUAAGUGUGAGAGAAAGUGAUUUACCCAGCGUUGUGUGGAAUCUUCAUUUGUACAACUACAUGAAGAAAACACACAAAGGAGGGAGUUUGCAAGACGAUGAGCCUAAAGCUCCACCCCUCCUAAUGAAUGCCACUUAUAAGACAUUCAAAGAUGGAGUCAGGGAUGGCAGGAGAAGCUUUCAUCUUAGAAUCAAACAUAAGCCUGCAUUGUAUCAGUCGGCAUUCUCUAGUGAAACAAGACUAAUAGGAUAUCCAUAUAGGAGGAGAUUUAGUAUAAGGAAUUGGCUCACAAAAUUAUGGAGGCUGCAAAGUCCCAUGAUCUGCCAUCUGCAAGCCGGAGACCCAGGAAAGCUGGUUGUGUUAUUAAGUCUUAGUCCCAAGGCCUGAGAACCAGGAACGUGACGGGAAGGAGACUGAUGUCCCAGCUCAAUCUGGC
rnacentral:lncRNA from 1 species